rnacentral:tRNA from 2 species
GCGGGUGUGGCGGAACUGGCAGACGCACCAGACUUAGGAUCUGGCGCCUUUGGCGUGGGGGUUCAAGUCCCUCCACCCGCACCA